ACCCAACUUCCUCAAAACCAAAACAAAACACAGAAACACACGCAUAGUCAAAAAUAAGAAGAAAUCUUUCUUCCUCAUGGAAGACCUUUAAACUACUCAUGGCAAGAUAUGAAAAGGUCCUCAUUUCUGUGAACUGUUUGGUUGGUGUCUUAGUCACUCUUCUCUUUUGUUUUUGUUUUUGUUUUUGUUUUUCGAGACAGGGUUUCCCCGUGUAGUCCUGGCUGUCCUGGAACUCACUUUGUAGACCAGGCUGGCCUCGAACUCAGAAAUCUGCCUGCCUCUGCCUCCUGAGUGCUGGGACUAAAGGUGUGUGCCACCACGCCCAGCUCUUCUCUUGCUGUGAUAAUCCACCAUGACCGAGGCACCUUACAGAAGGAAGAGUAUGAUUGAGGCUUAUAAUUUCAGGCAGGUAGGUGCCCAUGAUUGUGAUGGCAGGGAGCAGGGCAGCAGGCAGGCAAACACUGCACUGUUAGCGACAACUGUAGCUCACAUCUGACCCACACACAGAAAAGCAGAGAGAGCCACUAGAGAUGGCAGGAGGCUUUUGAAACCUCUAGCCCACUCCCAGGAACACAUGACACACGAGGCUACACCUCCUAACCCUUCCCAAACAGCCACCAGCUGGGGACCAAGUAUUCAAAUCUAUGAGGCUAUGGGGCCAUUCAAGUUCAAAUCACCACAGUGGGCAAGUUCGCACAGUACCUUCUAUUUUCUUACAGUGACUUUUUUUUUUUGAGGUGCAAGGGUCCCCGAGGUGCACACUUGGGAAUAGAGCUAGCUUUCCUUCCAAUGCUCGCUGGACUCGGGUCAGCAGUGACGAGGUAGGGUUGGGCAAGCACACUGCUCAACCAUGUUUCAAAUUUUUAACUAUUGAGCUGCAGAGUUCAGUGGUAAUGUUCUUGCCUAGUGUGCCUGAGGCCCCGUGUUCUAUCCCAAACCCAAGGGAAUGGGGAAACGAGGUUGUCUUAAUUAGAAUUUAUUGCUAUAAAGAGACACCAUGAGCAUGGCAGCUGUUAUAAAGGAGAACGUCUAAUUGGGGCUGGCUUACAGUUUCAGAGAUUCCGUCCAUUAUCAUCAUGGCAAGGAAGUAUGACAGCCUGCAGGCAGACAUGGUGCUGGAGAUGCUGAGAGUUCUACAUCUUGAUCCACAGGCAACAGAAGGACUGUGGUCAACACUGGAGGUAACUUGAGCAUAUAUAAAACCUCAAGGGCUGGUGAGAUGGCUCAGUGGGUAAGAGCACCCGACUGCUCUUCCGAAGGUCCAGAGUUCAAAUCCCAGCAACCACAUGGUGGCUCACAACCAUCCGUAACGAGAUCUAACUCCCUCUUCUGGAGUGUCUGAAGACAGCUACAGUGUACUUACAUAUAAUAAUAAAUAAAUCUUUAAAAAAAAAAAAAACUCAAAGUCCGCCUCAACAGUAAAACACUUUCUCCAACAAGGCCACACCUAAUAGUGCCACUCCCUAUGGGCCAGGUGUUCAAACCCAUGAGUCUAUGGGGACCAUAGCAAUUCAAACCACCACAGGCUGCCUGCUAGACUUUACCCAAGGGGACAAACAGCAUUUCAGUGUUAGUUUGCUGAGCCUCACGGUGACUGUGACUUAGGUCUAUGGCAGCUGCAGUCCCAGAGCAUCCCACAGAAAGGUAGGACAUUCCCCAAGGGACACUCAACUCCUGGGCUGGGGACAGUGUCCCCUGGGACCUGUGUGAUCUGUGGCCUGUCAGCCAGCAUGUGUGGAGCAGAAAGCUGUGACAAAAGCCUACGCCCCGUGUGUAUGAGUUCAAGAGGCUACACACUCUGUACCCUUUUAGCCCCAAACAAAUAGAAAUGAGUUUCUCCAAUAACCU
rnacentral:lncRNA from 1 species